rnacentral:rRNA from 1 species
UACAGAGGCGGCAAGCGUUGUUCGGAAUUACUGGGCGUAAAGGGCGCGUAGGCGGUCCUGUAAGUCCCGUGUGAAAUCCCCCGGCUCAACUGGGGAAUGGCACGGGAGACUGCGGGGUUUGAGUUCGGGAGAGGGAAGCGGAAUUUCGGGUGUAGCGGUGAAAUGCGUAGAUAUCCGGAGGAACACCGGUGGCGAAGGCGGCUUCCUGGACCGACACUGACGCUAAGGCGCGAAAGCUAGGGGAGCAAACAGG